AGUCCAAAUCGCCUUUCUGUUCCCCACACCCCAUUUGUCUGGAAUCAAAAAACAAUGACAAUUUCGACAAGACAUUGUCUCUUACAUGGUCUUUAUUGGUUUAUUGGUUCACAGAUUCAUUCAUUCAGUUUUGUAUGGAAGUGAGAGGGCUUGCAGUUCGUUGUUCAGUUUUGGCUUGUUAAGACUGAGGUACUUUGUGGCAUCUGAGAAGCAUUGUCAAUUAGGCAUUUGGAUGUAGGCAUUUGGGAAUUUAGAGAUGUCUGGGGCUAGACCUGUAAAAUUUGGGUCAAUCUGGGUAGAUGGUGAUUGAUGCUAUCCAUUGGAAUAGGACUGCAGAGAAAGGGACAGAGAGGAAGAGAGAAAAUAGAAGGAAAUGGGCUGGAAUUGGCCCAGGGAACACCAACACCAUUGGUUGAGUCAGGAAGGCGGACCUGCAAAAAAGAGAGAGGAGGAUCAGCCUGAGAGUGGCAAUGGAUGCAGCAAUAUUCAGUUUCCAGAAUCAGCAGCUCCGGCAGCAGUGUCCUGUGCUGAUGGUGUUGGCAGGAGCUUCUUGACCCUGGGAGCAGAUUCAAUGUCACCUGGAGGAACAUUUCGUCCUCUACAUUUGCAUGGGAGAAUAACAUUUUUAAAGAAAAAUCAGGAGAGAUUGGCGUGCUGCCUUCUAGUGCAUAAUCCCAGGGUCAGUGAGAACUCCUAGCAUCUGACAAGUCAUAAAUCACACUCAUCUCUUCCUUACAUUCCCCUCUCUGUCUCUUGCUACUUUGGCUCAGGUCAAAUCAGUUCAAGAAACAUGUGUUGGACACUUAUAAUGUAUGAUGACUGCUCUUAUUUUCUGUGAAUAAAGAUGAUUCAGAUGUGAUCUCUACCCUUGACUAUCUUACAGUCACAGAGAAAGACAAAUAAUUUUAAUAUAAUUUGUUAAGAGCUGUGAUGGAGGUAAGUACAAGAUGCUGUAGGUAUACUUGUGCAUCUAAGAUAGAUUAGUUGUUUGUGAGUGUGUGUAUUGGUGUGUGUAUGUCCGUGUGUAUUGGAGGUAGGAAUAGGGAAAGUUUGUGGGAUUGUUUCUGGAGUAUAUUUUUCCUAGACAGAAUCUUAAAAAAUUCGUCUGGCUAUGGUUAUGAGCCAGAUGAAGAAGGGAUAGAAAUCAUAGCAAUAUCCUGUAACUUCACUUUCAUUAAAUUAACCACUGAUUGUAGUCAUCACUUUAAAUUUUGUGAAGAAUGCUUAGUUUUAUGCUCAAUAUCUUCUUUUGUCAAAACUGAGAAAGAUUGUUUGUCUAUCAUUUAAUUUUCCUUGAGAUUUAGAUACAUUAUUGAUACAGUUGUAAUCAAAUUCUAAAAAAAAAAAAAAAUUCUACUCUAAGAAGAGUGAAAAUUGUGGCAGAAAGAGUACUGAGUCUAAAGAUCCUGAGCUGAACCAAAUCCCGGAGCCUCUAAGAACUAACCAGGUAGCACCUUCCACCAGAUGGACGGCAAUUCAAAAUGUAGCAAUGUUUAAAUUACCUGUAUUCUCGAAAUUUAUUUUUAUAUCAGCUGUUUUGAUAAUACACUAUUUUUCUCUUUAGAAGCAAUUCUCUAUUAGUUUGAUGUGAUAGAUUAUAUAGAUUCCUUAAACCAAUAUUGGCUGUGAAUCUAUGAUAUUCCAAGGACCACUGUAGGCACUGGGGAUGAAACAAUUUGGCCCCUCCCCUCUGGAGUUCUUUAGUGUUAGGAACUGGGUUUUCAGUCUGUAUCCCCAGUCUUUAGCAUAUGCUUGGUACACAGUAUUUGCUCAAAAAAUAAGAUUGAUUGAAUAUUCAAAGUAUGAUGGGUGCCCAAGGAAAGUAAUGAUACCUUGAUUUAGUGGGCAUGUCUUUGAGUAGAGGGACUAUGCGGAGCAAAAAACAGUGGGGUGUAAAAAUGCAGUGUGUUCUAGUUAGUUGGUAUGGGAUAAGGCUGGUAAGGUUGCCUGCAGAUGGAUACGGGAGGGUGGAAUUUAUCUAUAUUCAGUGUGGGGCCGUAAGUAAUCAUCAAGCAGAGAUGUAAUUAUUCAUAAUUAUGUUUUAUUUAUCAGUUAUUGAAUGAGUUGAUUUCCCUUGAAAUAAAGGUAGGCACUUCUAUAACUGCUAGGCACUACAGUUUUUAGAUAUUGGCAGCAUCUAUCAAAAGUAAAGAUAUGCCUACCCUUAUAUAUUCCAUCUUGGAUAAAGCUCGUACCUAGCAAUUCGAAUGUUUGUAGUUUACCUUAACAGAUAUAUUGGUAACAGUGAAAAACAAUAUAUGUAUAGGAAUGUUCAUAACAUAAUUGUUUGUGGUAGCAUAAAUUGGCCCCAAUAUUAAUGUUCAUCAAUAAGAGAAUAGUUAACUAAGUUUUGGUUUAACUGUAGUUUAACUGUAGUUAAACUGUAGUGUGGAAUAUAAUGAAAUCAAUAGCAAGACAUAGGUAUAGCUAUAUAUAUUGGUCAAGAAGUGUCUCCAAGAUAAUAGCGAUUGUUGGGAAAAUUAAGUCAUUAAAUCAUAUGUUAACUACAAAAGUGUGCAUACUCAUGUACAUACACAU
rnacentral:lncRNA from 1 species